rnacentral:rRNA from 1 species
GGUUAAGUGAAUAAGGGCGCACGGUGGAUGCCUUGGCACUAGGAGCCGAUGAAGGACGGGACUAACACCGAUAUGCUUUGGGGAGCUGUAAGUAAGCUAUGAUCCAGAGAUUUCCGAAUGGGGGAACCCAAUAUCUUUUAUAGGAUAUUACUUUUCAGUGAAUACAUAGCUGAUUAGAGGUAGACGCAGAGAACUGAAACAUCUUAGUACCUGCAGGAAGAGAAAGAAAAUUCGAUUCCCUGAGUAGCGGCGAGCGAAACGGGAAGAGCCCAAACCAACAAGCUUGCUUGUUGGGGUUGUAGGACUCCAAUAUGGUAGUCUGUUAGUAUAGUUGAAGGAUUUGGAAAAUUCCGCUAAAGAGGGUGAAAGCCCCGUAGACGAAAUGCUAACAACACCUAGGAGGAUCCUGAGUACGGCGGAACACGAGAAAUUCCGUCGGAAUCCGCGGGGACCAUCCCGCAAGGCUAAAUACUCCCUAGUGACCGAUAGUGAACCAGUACCGUGAGGGAAAGGUGAAAAGCACCCCGGAAGGGGAGUGAAAUAGAUCCUGAAACCGUGUGCCUACAACAAGUCAAAGCUCGUUAAUGAGUGAUGGCGUGCCUUUUGUAGAAUGAACCGGCGAGUUACGAUUGCAUGCGAGGUUAAGUCGAAGAGACGGAGCCGCAGCGAAAGCGAGUCUGAAUAGGGCGAAUGAGUAUGUAGUCGUAGACCCGAAACCAUGUGAUCUACCCAUGUCCAGGUUGAAGGUGCGGUAAAACGCACUGGAGGACCGAACCCACGUACGUUGAAAAGUGCGGGGAUGAGGUGUGGGUAGCGGAGAAAUUCCAAACGAACUUGGAGAUAGCUGGUUCUCUCCGAAAUAGCUUUAGGGCUAGCCUCGGAAUUGAGAAUGAUGGAGGUAGAGCACUGUUUGGACUAGGGGCCCAUCUCGGGUUACCGAAUUCAGAUAAACUCCGAAUGCCAUUCAUUUAUAUCCGGGAGUCAGACUGCGAGUGAUAAGAUCCGUAGUCGAAAGGGAAACAGCCCAGACCACCAGCUAAGGUCCCAAAAUAUAUGUUAAGUGGAAAAGGAUGUGGGGUUGCACAGACAACUAGGAUGUUGGCUUAGAAGCAGCCACCAUUUAAAGAGUGCGUAAUAGCUCACUAGUCGAGUGACCCUGCGCCGAAAAUGUACCGGGGCUAAACAUAUUACCGAAGCUGUGGACUACACCAUUAGGUGUAGUGGUAGGAGAGCGUUCUAAGGGCGUUGAAGGUCGAUCGUGAGGACGGCUGGAGCGCUUAGAAGUGAGAAUGCCGGUAUGAGUAGCGAAAGACAGGUGAGAAUCCUGUCCACCGUAUGACUAAGGUUUCCUGGGGAAGGCUCGUCCGCCCAGGGUUAGUCGGGACCUAAGCCGAGGCCGAUAGGCGUAGGCGAUGGACAACAGGUUGAUAUUCCUGUACCAGUUGUUUUUGUUUGA